AAGUAUUUUUCGUCUGUCUCAUGCCUAAACUUUAAUUUUACUACCACUUUCAUACUUCUACUAGUUUGACUGUCAAGUUUUCUAUUAAAUGAUGACGUGGCAUUCAUAAGUCAACGUUGACCCACUGAAUUUGUGCCACAUGGACCACUAAACAAUUAAAAAUUUGUAUUAUUUUAUAAAUAAUUAAAAUUAAUAAAGUUAAAAUUUUUAAAUCAUAGAAAAAAUAAAAUUAGAAAAAGUAACACAAAAAAAACUAAAAACAAAAACAAGAACACUUCUCUCAGUGUCAUGUCAUGUAUCACGUGAAAACAUUGAGAAGAAACUGUUGCGCACCCAAUGCCUUCUAGUUUUCCAGGCCUACAAUUUUCGUCGUCCUAUCACGGCCACUGACAUCAUAACCCUCAAAUCAUUCCUCUCUUCCUCCUCUACAAACUGCACCCCUUGAUCGGCGAAGAUCAAGCCCCAAAACUGUAGCAGUUGCCAAAAAUUUCAGAGCCCAGGCCGGCCAACUCUGACCACCACUAAUAACCACUUUACCACCAAAACACUUAUUUCUCUUUCCUCUAUCAUUCCCCUCCAAGAUCCGAACCAUAGCUUCGCCAACUUUCUCGACUCGACACUAAAGAAUUUCUUGGUUUUUCAUCGUAACCGAGGGCUAGAAAGAAGGUGGGGCAUGUGUGAACCAUGACCACGUACAUGACGAUGCAAGCGUGAGGACUUCCAAUGAGCAGUGGCCAUGCGAACGUGAGGAUCUCUGAUGGGCAGUAGCGAUGACGAUGACGAGUUGAUGAUGAUGGAGAUUGGGAUUCCGAUUCGAAUUCAUAGGAAAAUUCCAACUUUGAUUGAUCAGUGCUAUCUUUAGUAUCCUGGUCCAAAUUAUGUUAUUAUGGCCAAGCAGCCAUUGUUGUGCCAUAGAUUUUGCAU
rnacentral:lncRNA from 1 species